rnacentral:lncRNA from 1 species
CAGGCUCCAUUCUCCUUUGUUUCACUCAGGGGCCUGCUCAUGGUGGUGCUCAAGAAAUGCUACUGGAUGCAAAGAUAGAUGGAUGAUGGACGCAGCGAGGGAGGGAGGAAAGGAAGAGGGAUGAUGGAGAGGAGGGAGGAAAUGAUGGAUGAAUGGAGAGACGGAGAAAUGGUGGAUGGAUGGAGGGAUGAUGGAAGGAGAGAUGGAAGGAUACAGGCAUGACGAAUAGAUAGAUAGGUGGAUGGAUGGAGGGAUGAUGGAAGGAGAGAUGGAAGGAUACAGGCAUGACGAAUAGAUAGAUAG